AGGCUUAACACAUGCAAGUCGAGGGGCAGCAUGGUCUUAGCUUGCUAAGGCCGAUGGCGACCGGCGCACGGGUGAGUAACACGUAUCCAACCUGCCGUCUACUCUUGGACAGCCUUCUGAAAGGAAGAUUAAUACAAGAUGGCAUCAUGAGUCCGCAUGUUCACAUGAUUAAAGGUAUUCCGGUAGACGAUGGGGAUGCGUUCCAUUAGAUAGUAGGCGGGGUAACGGCCCACCUAGUCUUCGAUGGAUAGGGGUUCUGAGAGGAAGGUCCCCCACAUUGGAACUGAGACACGGUCCAAACUCCUACGGGAGGCAGCAGUGAGGAAUAUUGGUCAAUGGGCGAGAGCCUGAACCAGCCAAGUAGCGUGAAGGAUGACUGCCCUAUGGGUUGUAAACUUCUUUUAUAAAGGAAUAAAGUCGGGUAUGGAUACCCGUUUGCAUGUACUUUAUGAAUAAGGAUCGGCUAACUCCGUGCCAGCAGCCGCGGUAAUACGGAGGAUCCGAGCGUUAUCCGGAUUUAUUGGGUUUAAAGGGAGCGUAGAUGGAUGUUUAAGUCAGUUGUGAAAGUUUGCGGCUCAACCGUAAAAUUGCAGUUGAUACUGGAUAUCUUGAGUGCAGUUGAGGCAGGCGGAAUUCGUGGUGUAGCGGUGAAAUGCUUAGAUAUCACGAAGAACUCCGAUUGCGAAGGCAGCCUGCUAAGCUGCAACUGACAUUGAGGCUCGAAAGUGUGGGUAUCAAACAGGAUUAGAUACCCUGGUAGUCCACACGGUAAACGAUGAAUACUCGCUGUUUGCGAUAUACUGCAAGCGGCCAAGCGAAAGCGUUAAGUAUUCCACCUGGGGAGUACGCCGGCAACGGUGAAACUCAAAGGAAUUGACGGGGGCCCGCACAAGCGGAGGAACAUGUGGUUUAAUUCGAUGAUACGCGAGGAACCUUACCCGGGCUUAAAUUGCAGAUGAAUUACGGUGAAAGCCGUAAGCCGCAAGGCAUCUGUGGAGGUGCUGCAUGGUUGUCGUCAGCUCGUGCCGUGAGGUGUCGGCUUAAGUGCCAUAACGAGCGCAACCCUUGUUGUCAGUUACUAACAGGUUCCGCUGAGGACUCUGACAAGACUGCCAUCGUAAGAUGUGAGGAAGGUGGGGAUGACGUCAAAUCAGCACGGCCCUUACGUCCGGGGCUACACACGUGUUACAAUGGGGGGUACAGAGGGCCGCUACCACGCGAGUGGAUGCCAAUCCCCAAAACCUCUCUCAGUUCGGACUGGAGUCUGCAACCCGACUCCACGAAGCUGGAUUCGCUAGUAAUCGCGCAUCAGCCACGGCGCGGUGAAUACGUUCCCGGGCCUUGUACACACCGCCCGUCAAGCCAUGGGAGCCGGGGGUACCUGAAGUGCGUAACCGCGAGGAGCGCCCUAGGGUAAAACUGGUGACUGGGGCUAAGUCAU
rnacentral:rRNA from 1 species